GUCUGGAGACAGGUGCUGCAUGGCUGUCGUCAGCUCGUGUCGUGAGAUGUUGGGGUUAAGUCCCGCAACGAGCGCAACCCUUGCCUUUAGUUGCCAGCAGUUCGGCUGGGCACUCUAAAGGGACUGCCGGUGUUAAACCGGAGGAAGGUGGGGAUGACGUCAAGUCCUCAUGGCCUUUAUGACCAGGGCUACACACGUACUACAAUGGCCGAUACAAAGGGCAGCGACACUGCGAGGUGAGGCCAAUCCCGUAAAAUCGGUCUCAGUCCGGAUUGGAGUCUGCAACUCGACUCCAUGAAGUUGGAAUCGCUAGUAAUCGUGGAUCAGCAUGCCACGGUGAAUACGUUCCCGGGCCUU
rnacentral:rRNA from 1 species